GUUAGUGUGGGGGGGAGCAAGCUGACAGUUUUCCUUCAACAAAUCUUUGUCUUUUGUCCUGUCACAGAUUCAGUCAAAAUCCCAGAAAUCUGAGACAAAUAGGGCAUUGAGUAUGCAGAACAGGGUUAAACUAAGAUUCAGAGGUGCAAAAUAGGGAUUCUUAAGUCUGAUAAGAAAAAGCUUGGUGAACAUCCCCCAGGACCUCUCUCUAGUCUCCAAAGCUAAUGCACAACUCAAAAAAAAACUUCAAAUUGCUUUUAAGUUGGCUCACUGGGCAGAGGGUGAUGAAAUGGCACAGGAGAGUGAUGAAAUGGCAC